GUACGAGGGAGGCUAGCGUUGUUCGGAAUUACUGGGCGUAAAGAGCUCGUAGGUGGUUUGUCGCGUUGUUCGUGAAAACUCACAGCUCAACUGUGGGCGUGCGGGCGAUACGGGCAGACUUGAGUACUGCAGGGGAGACUGGAAUUCCUGGUGUAGCGGUGGAAUGCGCAGAUAUCAGGAGGAACACCGGUGGCGAAGGCGGGUCUCUGGGCAGUAACUGACGCUGGAGGAGCGAAAGCGUGGGGAGCGAACAGG
rnacentral:rRNA from 1 species